rnacentral:lncRNA from 1 species
CGAGCUGCUGUAGCCCCUACGUGGUGAGUAGAUCGUCUCCACAGAAAUCAGCGGAGGCUUCCACAGUCCCUGGUUGGAAUGGAACCGGCGGUGAGGAUGAGAGGCGCUGAAGACCAGAAGACCCAGGGCGUGAACGGGGCGUGUCAUCCCUGGAGUUUCAGUAGAAUUUCAGGCCUGUCUGCUUGAGCAGCAGAGGAGGAGUUUCUGUGUGCCUGUGAGAGACUGUGUGUGUGUGUGUGUGUGUGUGUGUGUGUGAGAUGAAUGAACAGGGUUGUGUACGUGUGUGUGCGUUAGACAAAUGAACAGUGUUGUGUACCUGUGUGAAUUGUCACUGUGACUCCAGGCUCUAGGCUCUGCAGAUUCCUCAGCCCUAUCGCCUCACAGACACUUGGGAUGUGCAGCAGGUAAAAGAGAGAAGCCAGAUUCAUGGAGGCGUGAAGGAUCCCAGCAAGAAAACACAGACUUGAUCUUGAGACGAGAUUUUUGAAAUUGGUUGCGGCCUCAAGGCAGGCUCUGAGAAGACUCGAUAAAGAGUUCUCAGGAAUAGGCAUCCCUCCUGGAUAUUUCCCCCUUGGAAGCGCCGAGGAGCCAGCUCUAUGUUUGUAACCAUAGCAUUUCUAAAGCUCCAGCCCCAGGAACCUGCUGUGAAUUAGAGACAGAUUCCACCCUAGGCAUCACUGAUCUUGGCCUCUCUUGUAUUGGGAAGGUCAACACUGUUCCAGUUUCUCUCCUACUCCCAUCUGGUUGUGCUCGGUGAAGUAGGUGAGCAGUGCUACCCUUCUGUUAAAAAAAAAAAAAAAAAAAAGAUCCUGAAAGAGGAAAGAAUUUUUGCUACACAUCUGAAAGCUAAAGUCCAGUUGAACUCCAGAGGAGAACACAGCCCAGGUAACCCCUCGUUUGCAGCCUGUGAGACCAGCCUGAGGACAGCACCCAGCUAAACUCCAGGUCCAUGGAAACUGUGAGAUUUUAUAUAUUUAUGUUGUUUUAAGCUAAAUUCGUGGUAAUUGGUUAUGGUAGCAACUGAAAAUUAAUGCAGUAAGAAAGUCUAAGGAGAUCGGAAGAGACUAAAGAGAAAUAACAGCUAAAUGCAACGUAGAUUAAUGUGUGGGAUCCUGGAAAAGAAAAAGGACAUUAAUGGGAAAACAUAUUUGAAUAAGAUGUGCAAAUUUUUCGUAUUGUACCAAUGUUAAUUUCCUGGUUUUGAUAAUUAUCCUUUGGUUAUGUAAGAUAAACGCUAGAAUGAAGGGUAUAUGAGAACCCUCUGUACUACUCUUGCAACUUUUCUCUAAGUCUAAAAUAAGUGGAAAUUAAAAGUUAAAACAAAAAAAAAGGAAAAUUUUAUCUAUCCCAAGACCACAAAGUUAUUUUUCUGUUUCUUCCUCCAGAAUCUUUAUUGUUUGUUUUCACACUUAGACCUAUGAUCCAUCUUGAAUUUAUAUCUGUGUAUGUAGUGGGAUGAAGUUCAAAAUCAUUUUUUUCAUACAGAUAUCCAAGUGCACUGGCACCGUUUGUUAAAAACACUGGCCUUCUCUUAAGCUGCAGUCAGACUUUUACUGUAAAGCAUGGGCCCAUAUAUGUGCAGGAGUCUUUCUACUUUUCCGUUGGUCCUCUUUGUCAAUCUUUGUGCCAGCACCUCCAUUUUAAUUCCUGUAGCUUUAUAUUAUAUCUUGAUAAUCUGGUAAUAUAAGUUGAAGAACAACUUUGUUCUUCAAAAUCACUUUGUCUAUUCCAGGUUCUUUGCAUUGCUCUAUAAUUUUAGAAUGAGUUAAUUAAUUUUCUCAAAACAAACAAAACGCCCUGCUGACAUUUUGUUGGCAGUACAUUGAAUCAGUAGAUAAAUUUAGAGAGAAUUAUCUCAAAAUUGAGUCUUACAGUUCAUGAACAUGGAAUACAUUUCCAUUUAUUGAAUUCAUCUUUAAUUUCUUUCCUUAAGGUUUUGUUGUUUCCUGUCUAAAGGUCUUGCACAUCUGUUAAAUUUAUUCCUGUUUUACAUUUUUUAUGUUUUUACAAACUGUUAAGGUUUUAAAAAUUUUAUUUUUCAGUAGCUUUGCUUUAAUAUAAUUGUUUUAUACUUUUACCCUUUAUUCAGCAAUAAAUUAUUUAAUUUAAAGCUUGUGGAAUUAAAAAAUAUUUUUAUGUACAUAAUCAUGUAAUCUACACUAUCUGCAAAUAAAGAUCAUUUUACUUCCUUC